GGCCAAGUGAGAAAUGCAUGAAUUCUAACCCAAAACUCCUGAGUUUCUGCCACAUGAAUUGCUGUUUCAGAAACUAGUUAUGAAUCAUUUGCAGCCCGACAUCAACUGAAAGACCAGUUAACUUAGUCCUUUAUCUGGAGUCUCCCAAUUCUAAUGUUUUCUUUUCUUUUUUUUUUUAAGAUUUUAUUUAUUUAUUUAUAGAGACACAGAGAGAGAAUGAGAGGCAGAGACACGGCAGAGGGAGAAGCAGGCUCCAUGCAGGGAGCCCAACGUGGGACUCGAUCCAGAGUCUCCAGGAUCACUCCCCGGGCUGCAGGAAGCGCUAAACCACUGCAUCACCGGGGCUGCCCUGGAGUCUCCCAAUUCUAAAUCAAUAAUUUAUGAGAUCCGCAUGCAACUAAGUUAUGUGAACCUGAUGCUCUGCCUCACAGCAAAGCCUUCACAGUGUUCUCAUUUAAGCUUUGGAGGUGUUGACUCCAUGGAUCUGGGUGGAACAGGAUUCUCAGACUUCAGGCAGCCCCUCAUUCUCCAGGACUUCGCAGGAGGCUUCCUGAUUUCAGCUGGAUUUGAACCAGGAGGCUGGAGAAGCUGGGAGCUGCCCUGGAUCCUAAGGAUGAAGCUUGCACAGAGAAAGGUUUCCAGGUGAUGCUGCUGGUCUGGGGCCACACUUUGAGAACUGCUGAGUUUUUGAGCAGCUGCUCUGGUGCCGCAUUUCACCCAUUCACCUAGGUGGAUCCUCACCACAAUUCAGCCAGUAAGUUUCAUUACCGGCAUUUAAGAUCUGAGGUCCAGAAGAGGGGAAGUGGCAUCGUCAGAAACACACAGGUGCGGCUGACCUCACAGCCACUCCUCCACACACAAGUGUGCAGCUACUUUCUCAAGCAGCCUCUGGACAUGGAUUGCAAAAGGAGUGUGUCAAAUAGAGAAUCUGGCGAGGGUUUGCCCAUCCCUCUUUACUGUCCUGAGAUCACUGCAAGGAACAUGAGU
rnacentral:lncRNA from 1 species